AAAUCCUCCAAUAUGGGCAAAGUUGUCAACAUGUGGUAGAAUUCCUACUGCUAAAUUGAUUACAAUGAUGACCAAAAGAGUGAUGAAAGCUGCUACCUUGUUGGUAUAUAUUGACCAAUUAGUGAUGAGUUCAGAAAGCAUUGCCCCAAGUAGACCAAAAAGUGCACCAGAAGCACCAACAGAGAUAUUUGAUUGGAUGAAAAGAGCUGACAACAAACUCCCA
rnacentral:misc_RNA from 1 species